UGUGGGAGCGAGCCUGCUCGCGAUAGCGGUGGAUCAGCCAAGAUCAAUUUGGCUGAAAGACCAUCGCGAGCAGGCUCGCUCCCACA
rnacentral:misc_RNA from 1 species